rnacentral:rRNA from 1 species
ACUCCUACGGGAGGCAGCAGUGAGGAAUAUUGGUCAAUGGGCGCAAGCCUGAACCAGCCAUGCCGCGUGCAGGAUGACGGUCCUAUGGAUUGUAAACUGCUUUUGUACGGGAAGAAACACUCCUUCGUGAAGGAGCUUGACGGUACCGUAAGAAUAAGGAUCGGCUAACUCCGUGCCAGCAGCCGCGGUAAUACGGAGGAUCCAAGCGUUAU